rnacentral:rRNA from 1 species
GAUGAACGCUGGCGGCGUGCUUAACGCAUGCAAGUCGAACGGGAUCCAUCAAGCUUGCUUGGUGGUGAGAGUGGCGAACGGGUGAGUAAUGCGUGACCGACCUGCCCCAUACACCGGAAUAGCUCCUGGAAACGGGUGGUAAUGCCGGAUGCUCCGGCCUGCCGCAUGGUGGGCUGGGAAAGAUUGUAUCGGUAUGGGAUGGGGUCGCGUCCUAUCAGGUAGUCGGCGGGGUAACGGCCCACCGAGCCUACGACGGGUAGCCGGCCUGAGAGGGCGACCGGCCACAUUGGGACUGAGAUACGGCCCAGACUCCUACGGGAGGCAGCAGUGGGGAAUAUUGCACAAUGGGCGCAAGCCUGAUGCAGCGACGCCGCGUGCGGGAUGACGGCCUUCGGGUUGUAAACCGCUUUUGAUCGGGAGCAAGCCUUCGGGUGAGU